CCGGCCCUGUCCGCGGCAUCAUGAACAUAGACGUGGAGUUCCACAUCCAGCACAACUACCCCUGGAACAAGUUGCCGGCCAACGUGAGGCAUCGUCUUGGAAAUUCACAGAGACAAUAUGAAAAGCAGGUUGUCCUGUACAGUAUCUGCAAUCAGUUAGGAUACAGAAAUAACUUAGUUAAACAUGUCAAGAAAGAUGGACGCAGACACUAUAAGGAACCGCUAAAGUACAGCCGAGAUCAUCUCACGCUGUACCCUUAGCAUCUAUUGGAUAUUAUGGUGAAGGGCUUGAGGAUAACACCAUUUUCAUAUUAUACUGGGAUUAUGGAGGAUAUUAUGAACAGUGAGAAAAGUUAUGAUUCAUUGCCCAAUUUUACUGCUGCUAAGGCUUCUUGGCAUUGGAAGAAACCAGUAUAUUGAUCUUAUGAAUCAGUGUAGAUCAUCAAAAAAAUUCUCCAGAAGGAAAACAGCCUGUGAUCUUUUACCAAUAAAGCCAGUGGAAAUUGCCAUAGAGGUGUGGUGGGUGGUGCAGGCUGGAUAUAUCACAGAAGAUGACAUCAAGAUAUGCACUUUGCCUGAGAAAUGUGCUAUUGAUAAGAUCUAUCGAUUCAGGCCUUCAACUCUCUGGAUCACUAGAUUACAAUGUAGUACAUAGUUUAGUUUGUAUAACAAAGGAUUUAUUUAUCUGGAUGUAUCAAUAUCUGAUGACAGUCAUAUAGCAGUUCCACCUCCUGAAGGUUUUGUAAUGAAUCGAGUGCAAGGUGAUUAUUUUGAAACUCUACUCUAAUUUGUUUCAAUAGAUGAGCACACAAAUGUGGCAGAGCUUGCAAAUGUCCUUGAGAUUGACUUAUCCCUGGUUAAGAAUGCUGUUUCAAUGUAUUACCGAUUGGGCUUUGCCCAUAAGAAGGGACAAGUAAUAAAUUUGGAUCAACUUCAUUCAUCAUGGAAGAAUGUUCCAUCCAUAAACAGAUUAAAGAAUACCUUAGAUCCACAGAAGAUGCUCUUGUCAUGGGAUGGAGGGGAAAGUAGGAGUCCUGUACAAGAAGCUUCAUCGGCAACUGACACUGAUACAAAUAGUCAAGAAGAUCCAGCUGACACAGCCAGUGUAAGCAGCCUGAGUCUGUCUACGGGACACACGAAACGCAUCGCAUUCCUGUCUGACUCCACUCUUACUGUCUUCUUAAUGAUGGGAUAUCUUUCACCAGUUCAGGGCACUGGUGAAGGAGAAGCACAUAGAUAUUUUGAUCAUGCACUUACUCUGAGAAACACAAUACUGUUUCUGCAUCAUAACAAAGAUCUAGUUGUGCAAACUGCACAGCCAGACCAACCCAAUUGUGGUUUUCCUCUGGAUCUCUUAUACUGUGAAAGCCUUCUUGGUCUGGACCCUGCAACUUGCAGCAGAGUUCUAAACAAAAAUUACAUGCUGCUUGUUUCCAUGGCUCCCCUCACCAAUGAAAUCCAGCCUGUCAGCAGCUGCACCCCUCAGCAUAUUGGACCAGCUAUCCCAGAAGUCAGCUCUGUCUGGUUUAAACUGUACAUUUAUCAUAUCACUGGACAAGGACCACCAUCCCUUUUAUUGUCCAAAGGUACAAGACCUCGAAAACUGCCAGAAAUAUUUCAGAGUUAUGAUUGAUUGCUAAUAACAUCUUGGGGUCAUGAUCCUGGAGUAGUUCCUAUCUCAAAUGUGCUCACGAUGUUGAAUGAUGCUUUAACACAUUCUGCAGUUUUAAUUCAGGGGCAUGGUCUGCAUGGGAUAGGAGAAACUGUCCAUGUCCCAUUUCCAUUUGCUGAAACAGAACUACAAGGAGAGUUCACUUGUGCCAAUAUAGGUGUUCAUAAAUCAUUGCAGAUACUAAGGAACAGUGAACUUACAGCAUCUCUGUGGAUAUGUCACCAUGUUGAAUGCUUCCGGCCAACUUGCAAAUAGAAAACUCAGUGAUGCUGAUUUAGCUUCUGGCUCAGAUGUAAAUGGGAAUACAAAGUCAUUUGAAAUGGUCAUUGAGGAAGCAACUAUAGAUUCAGCAACAAAGCAAACCUCUGGUGCCACAACAGAAGCAGACUGGGUUCCUCUCGAUCUGUGCUUUGGAAUUCCACUGUUCAGUUCCGAAUUAAACCGGCAAGUUUGUAGGAAAAUUGCCCUAAAUAACUUAUCAAAAAAAAUCAUUCAUAGGGGGCAUCUUCUCAAACGCCAGCCCAUUUUCUGGCACAAACAAGGACGCAGUUCUCAGUGACACUAUCUGUCCAAGAUCAAGUGCACUCAAACCAUCAUUUUCUUGUCUGAGUAGCUUGGGCUACCACUCAACCAAUAAUACAUCAUAAUGUUCUUAAUUUUCUAAACUGACAAGGCUAUAUAAUAAAAGGUACAAAAUGUAUAUAACCACUCAUCAUAGGUAAGUGGUGGAUAUUCUUUCAGUAAAGAAUUUAAAUACUGUAAUACUUCAACAGUCAAGCUAGACUUACUUUCUAGGUCUUAUAUUAACUUUAAUUGAGAACUUUCAUAAUUACUUCCUAUAUAAAGAUGAGAAUUAUCUGACUUUGAAUUUCUAUCACAUUAGCAUAUCCUUUAAGUCAUAUAUGUGAGUUUGAAACCUACAUCAAUACCAUAUAAGUUCUAAAUGAA